rnacentral:rRNA from 1 species
UACGGGGGGAGCAAGCGUUGUUCGGAUUUACUGGGCGUAAAGGGCGCGUAGGCGGCCACCGCAAGUCGACUGUGAAAUCUCCGGGCUUAACCCGGAAAGGUCAGCCGAUACUGCCAAGCUAGAGUGCGGAAGGGGCAACUGGAAUUCCCAGUGUAGCGGUGAAAUGCGUAGAUAUUGGGAAGAACACCUGAGGCGAAGGCGGGUUGCUGGGCCGACACUGACGCUGAGGCGCGAAAGCCAGGGAGCAAAGCGGG